UUUUUUCAAAAACUAAAAAUGACACUAUGGGGCAAAUUAGAGAUACAUUUUUGGAUCGAUGCUCCUGCAGAUCAGUUUCAUGAUGUCUUCAGUUCCCGACCAUACCUUAUACCCAAUAUGUCCCCUCACAAAAUUCUUAGUGUUGAUCUUCUUGAAGGUGAAUGGGGUAAGGAAGGCGCUAUUAUUUGCUGGAAAUAUUUCUAUGGUAAGCGUUUAAUCUUUUUCAAUUGUAAUUUUCUUUUUUAAAAAGAAAAAUUAUUAAUCAAGUAUAAAAAUGAAAAACAGGUGGGUCUGUUCAAGUGGCUAAGCAAGUAAUUGAAACCAUAGAUAAUGUGAAUUUGUUAACCGUCUACAAAGUGAUCGAAGGAGAUGUGUUGAAGGAAUAUAAGAGUUUCAAGUUGACCGUUCAAGCUACACCUAAAGGAGAGGGCAGUGUGGUUCGUUGGACCUUAGAAUAUGAAAAGAUCCAUGAGAAUAUACAAGAUCCUUACUCCUUGCUAGAGUUUAUUGUCCAAUUUAGUAAGGAUGUUUCUGCUCAUCUCGUGAAAUGUCCGAAGAAAUGAUCACGAACACGUUAUGCUUUAAUAUGUGAUUUGCAUAAUAAUUAAAUAAGUGCUCUAUAAUGAAGCACCAAUGACAAACAUAUUUGUGUAUGAACUUAUAUCUACAAUGUAUUACAUCUUAAAACUAUGUUUGUGUUUUUUUUAAUGAUUAUGCUUCCUUUAUUAAUAUCUAUCUAAAUUUUUAAUGUCCGAUUGAUGUUGAUUCGUCUUGAUUUAAAUCUAUUUUUUUAAUUUUUUAUUAUAAAAAAUUAAAAAUUCAAAGCGAACUCUAACAACUUAAAAUUUAACAUAGAAUGAAAAAUACUCAUGAAAACUUAUCGACAUAAAUUAUGAUAUUCAUAUCCAGAAAUCUCUUCACCGGCUGUUUUCUCUGUUUCAAACAAUGAUUAGUAGCAUCAAAUCUAAUUUUCCUAGAAUUUUCAAUCAAUUUUAAGUUUAUCAAGAUGUAUUGAAAAAUAAUUAAGUACGAUACGUAAAAUUAGAAGACUAUGAUCUUAUGAAGGCACACUGAUAUAUAUCAUAAUUUAGAGAAUGUAGCCUUUGUUUGUUUAUAAAGAAUAAAAUUUUUAAAAAUAUUUAUUAUGAAAAAUAUUUUUUAAGAAUAAAAAUAAUUUUUAAGAAAAUUUUUAUUUAUUAUUUAUAUUAAUAUAAAAAAAAUAAAAAUAUGCAGCAAUCGCACAGAUAUAUAUAUAUAUAUAUAUAUAUAUAUAUAUAUAUAUAUUGUUUAAAAUAAAAGAAGAAAAUAUAAAUUUAUUUUUAUUAGAAUGAGAUAUAUAAUUAUUUAAGGCAUUGUAACAUUUUCCAUCCCAUAACACAAACCCUAAUUGAAAUCACUCACAAUAGUCAAUGCUUCAUAAUUGAGUAGGAAAGAUCUCUAAACAUAUAUAUAUAUAUAUAUGACAACUAAGCUCAUGCAACUUCUAUAUAAGGAAAGCAAUGCCAAAGCAGAAACUCUCUCUCCACGUCUCCUUUUUCUUGAAAAGCAAAAAUGACUAUUGGGCAAAUUGGAGGCAGAUGUUGAGAUCAAUGCUCCAGCAGAUCAUUUCACUAUGUAUUUAGUUGCAGACCACACAUGUAUUCAAUAUUAGUCCCAAUAAAAUUGAUGGUUGUGAUCUCCAUGAAGGUGAAUAGGUAAGGAAUGCACUGUCGUUUGCUGGAGUUAUUCUCAUGGUAAGCCUUAAAUCUUCAAUUGAAACUUUCUUUAGCUUUUAUUUUAAUUUUUUUGUAAUUUUUAAAAAUUAUUAAUUAAGUAUUAAAAUGAAAAAUAAAUAGAUCUCGUAAAGUAGCUAAAAAGAUAAUUGAAGCCAUAAAUGAUGUGAACUUGUCAACCACCUUCAAAGUGAUUGAAGGAGAUCUAUUGAAGGAGUACAAAAGUUUCAAGUUGAUCAUUAAGCUACACCCAAGGGUGAGGGAAGUUUGAUGCAUUGGACUUUGAAAUAUGAAAAAAUCCCUGAGAAUAUACCAAAUCCUAAUACAUUAUUGGAACUACUUAUCCACUUAAGUAAAGAUAUUUCUGCUUAUCUCGUGGAAUGUCAAAAAGAAAUGAUCAUAGAUUAUGUUAUGUCAUAACACGUGAUAUUUCUUUUAAUAAUUAAAUAAGUGCUCUAUAAUGAAGCACAAGUGGCUGGGAUAUUUUGUUGCAGAAAAACUUGCCUAAAAUCUAUGUCAUGUGUUUGUGUUACUCUAUUAUUAUAUGUCUUUUAAUUUGAUAAAAUUAAAAAAUAGAGAUUAAAUCAUUUACUUUUUUUGAAAAAAAAUAAUUUAACAGCAUAAAGUAAGGAUUAAACUGUUAAUUUUAAAAUUUUAUGCGGUUAUAUAUUAAUUUUGACCUAAUUAUUUUAUAACAAGUAUUUGCAAUGGUCUCAUCCGUAGGAAAUUUGUAAUUAAUAUAUUUUAUUUAUUUUUAUAUAUUUAUUGUGUGUUGAGUAUAUUAUAAAAGGGUCCAACAUGCAAGUAAUAAUUCAAAAUUUGAAAAAUGUGAUCUAUUAUUUUGUCCCAAUUUGCAUGCAUAGAAGAUUUACUCCAAACGGAAAUAAGAUAAUUUGCAUGCAUAGAAGAUUUACUCCAAACGGAAAUAAGAUUUUUUUCCAUGGAAUUUUUUUUUUUUUUACAUUCCAGAGAAAAAAAUUACAAUUAAACAAUUAGGCGUUUCAGAGAAUAGGCCUAUUAAUCUGAAGGCAAUAUUUCUCAAAAACACAAAUUUGCAACAAUCUCAGUAAAAGUGUUUGCGAACAUAGUGGUGUUACAUAACAUUAGUCCAAAAAAAGUUAUGAGUUGUCACUAUAGAAUAGGAAUCACGUGAUAAAAUUUAACAAGCAAAAAACGUUGUCUCACUAUAAGAGGAAACCCGGAUACUUUAACACGCAGACUAUCGUCAAUACUCGCCCUCCCAGGAUAGGCCGAGUCUUGACAGAGUUAAUGUUAUUAGGCACAUUUCUACUUUGUCAGAGAUCGUGGGAUUACUAAUCUAAUUAGCUGACGUUGUUCAUUAUUGAGCAGUCGGCCACAUUAUUGCUGAAUUUUCAAAAAACACUAUAUUUAUCUUCAUCCCUUACAGUAUAAAAUGAGAACGAUUUCAGAGAAAAUGUAUGCUAUUUCUAAUACUAUUCAAACUCUAAAUAAUCCUUCGCAUUCUCUAUGUUCUUCUAAACACUGAUUUCAGCAUCACAUAGACUGUCGUGGGCACCCACCACCACCUCACGUUUUCUCUUUUGUAGGUUCUAGCCAAUUACAGCUCAAUUCCAUUUCGACUACGUCAUCAAUCCAAUCUUAGCAACAUCAUUUGGUUCCAUUGUCGAGAAAGAUCCAUUAAACUCACUCCUGGAUCAGGCCCAGUUUCCUAUCGUCUUUCCUCACUCGAAAUGGCCGAAAACCCUACAGUUGCUGACAAUACCAUUACCAAUGAGGGGGUCAUCAUUUCCUCUAUCCCAAAUAACCGAGAGAACAUGCAUCCAGUGAUCAAUGAAGCAGACCUUAAUAAUUUGAAUAAUGAGCAGAUAAUCCAGUAUAUCUAAAGGUUGCAGGCCACUCUCGGGCAGUAUAAGACCUAAGAAGAGGCGUCUAAGAUGGACUCUAAAAGAAGAGAUGAGACUUCCGUAAACACCCCCAAAGCCAAGACGGAAGCACCUAAAAUGCGGCAUAAAGGUAUAACGACCCAAAAAUCGGACCGCUACCGGCGCUAGGAUCUUAAGGUCACCGGAACCCGUAGCAAGCCUAACAUACAUCCUGUAUACCUGCUAAAAUCCCAUACAUAAUCAUACAUUUUCAUAAAAACUUUAAAUUUUUCAUAUACCAAGCUUGACAUGUGCAUGCAUCAUAACUGUAUACAUAAAAUCCCUUACUGGAGCCCUCAUCAAAUGCUCUAGUUGGGUCAAUAUCUCAUACAUCAAGCUUGGUUCAACAUAUAUCAUCAUUAAAAAUAUUUCAUAAAGAUCAUGUACCAAAAGGGAUUAACCAUACAUUAGGGCCAAGCACAAUACUAAUCCGCAUUACAUUACUGAAUAAUACCUUACAUUACAUUACAUGUCAUUUCAUGUCCACUACUAAUCUAUUACAUGACAUAGCCAUUACCCUUGCUGACUUCAUGCUAUCUCUGACCCUGCAAACCUGGGGGUUAGGGGAAAAGGGUGAGCUACAAAAGCCCAGUGAGUAGAACAGUAAAACACAAUUUAAUAAAACACAUGCUUUUAUGAAAUGCGUCACAACACAAACAAUUCACAACAAGGAUGGACUUGUCACCAAUAACCCUCUACAUAAUCCAAUGUGCCCGACCCUCGACGGGGCUCCCCAGGACUUCCUCUUAAACAUAAUAUAAUGCUAGGACGCAUGGCAUGGGCAGCCCUGGACUUUCUUACAUACCAUAUCAUAUCAUAUUGAGGGCUAGUGGGUCAUCCAAUAUCCAUCCACAACAACAACAAAUUAUGCAAUGCAUCAUAUUCGUGAAUUCUAAUGCCAUAUAAACAUGGUAUCCAUGAUGCAUGAGCAUGCUUAAAAGUUUGAUUGCUUAAAAAAAGAAAGAGUUAUGUUCUACUCACCUCUGGCUAACUCUGGAACAGCUAACUCACUGUUGAUCACCUCGGUUCCUCAAGUCCGAUCCUACACAGGUGGACUCAAAUGAGGGACCAAACAUACUCUAACAUGACUCUAAACAUCUCCCCAAAAACCCCCCAAAACAUCAUAAAACAUGCACACAAAACAAGCAAAGGAAGGCUAGGCAGGAGACUUUCGGCGGCAGCUUCGGCGGCCGAAAGCCUUCACAGACUCGAAAGUCACCCACCUUCGGGGGCAGGUUUGGUGGCCGAAACUCCCCUCCAGAGUCGAAAGUCUAACUUUCAGGGGCGAGUUUAGGCGGUCAAAACUGCCUCCUCUAGCAGGUUCGGCGGCCGAACUUGGGUUCUCCAGGACGACAGAACCCGAUUUCGCCUCAUGUAUUCAGCCAUCCAAACCUAACCAACACCCAUCCAACUAUUCUAAAGCAUGCAUAAAUACAUAUUCGAGCUUAUAGGGGCUUAAAACUAGCCUAUACCCCCAACAAACAUCAACAUAGCAUCACAUUUAACAUUAAACUAACAUAAACCCUAACAUUUAGAUCUACUCUAAACAUGCUUUAAACACCCUUAAAACCUCCUAAAACUUACUUAAAACAUAAAAAGGUAUAGAUCUACACUUACCUCUUGAAGAUCGAGAGGAGAGGUGAUCCAAACUUGGAGAUUGGGAGAAAUCGAGUUCUGGGGGUCUCCAAGCUUCAAAACUUUGAUCUUAGCUUAAAAUCUUCAAAACAAAGGUAAAAACACAUCAAGACUUAAAGGAAAUGAAGGAAAACACAAAAUCAACCAAAGGAGGGCGAAAUCUCACCUAUGCCCGAAAAUAAAGAGAGAAAACUUGUCCAUUUUCGGAUAAUGGGCCUUUUAUAGGUGGCUGGCCAAACCACCUUCAGGGGCCAAAGGUGCUUCCACAAGAGCCCAAUGUUCGGCGGUCGAACCUGGCUUUUCCCUCCUUGGUCUUUUCUUUCAAAACUCAAUUUCUUUCUUCAUUAAAACCAUAAAAAUAUAUAAAAACAUUUUAGAAAACCUUUAUUUUACCCUUCUAGAAGGCUCCGACAUCCGAGAAUUUCGGAUUCCAACAGAGAUUCCGCUGGAAGGUAGGAAUUCCGAUGCCGGAGUCUAGCCGGGUAUUUUAAACUCACUCUUGGAUCAGGCCCAGUUUCCUAUCGUCUUUCCUCACUCGAAAUGGCCGAAAACCCUACAGUUGCUGACAAUACCAUUACCAAUGAGGGGGUCAUUAUUUCCUCUAUCCCAAAUAACCGAGAGAACAUGCAUCCAAUGAUCAAUAAAACAGACCUUAAUAAUUUGAAUAAUGAGCAAAUAAUCCAGUAUAUCUAAAGGUUGCAGGCCACUCUCGGGCAGUAUAAGACCCAAGAAGAGGCGUCUAAGAUGGACUCUGAAAGAAGAGAUGAGACUUUCGUAAACACCCCCCAAGCCAAGACAGAAGCACCUAAAAUGCGGCAUAAAGGUAAGUGUGAAUCUGAAGAUAAAUCAAAUGAGGUUUCAAAAGAAGUGAAUUGGAAGCUAGUACGAGCCAUACAAAGAUAUUAAAGAAAACAAGAAGAGGAUUAUAGUUUGGAUGGGGUCUCGCCUCUUUCGGAAAAAAUACUAGUGAAAACUUUUCCCGCUAAGUUUAAGUUGUCCUAUUUGGAUAAGUAUUACGGGACAGCAGACCCUUGAAGCCAUCUAGCCAUUUUCAGGAUGACCCUGGAGUUUCAAGAUUUAAAUAAUUGUGUUAUGCCGAAUGUUCCUGUCGACAUUCGCAGAUUUCUGAAACUUAUUAAUAAGUAUAAAAAUAAAAAAUUGAUGGAUCUCGCGAAGUGGCAAAAGAGGUGAUUGAAACUAUAGAUGAUGUGAACUUAUCAACCACUUAUGAAAUGAUCGACAGAGAUCUAAUGAAGGAGUACAAGAGUUUCAAAACUACCAUUCAAGCUACACCCAAAAGAAAUGGCAGUUUGGUGCAUUGGACCUUGUUAAUAUAAGAAGUUGAAAAAUAUCUCAAAUGACAAUUAAGCUCAUGCCACUUCUAUAUAUAUAGAAAGCAAUGCCAAAGGACUUCAUGCAUCAUUAGAUUCAUCAGUGAUCAUAAGCAUCACCAGAAACUCACUGUGUAUCUUUCUUUUUUCAAAAACUAAAAAUGACACAAUGGGGCAAAUUAGAGAUACAUUUUUGGAUCGAUGCUCCUGCAGAUCAGUUUCAUGAUGUCUUCAGUUCCCGACCAUACCUUAUACCCAAUAUGUCCCCUCACAAAAUUCUUGGUGUUGAUCUUCUUGAAGGUGAAUGGGGUAAGGAAGGCGCUAUUAUCUGCUGGAAAUAUUUCU
rnacentral:lncRNA from 1 species